CCCAGUUAAUUCAUUUUCAAUUGGAGCCCACUCCAAUUAUAUACUCCCUCACAUCCAUCGAAACCCACUCUCUCUCUCACCUUCUUGUUUCAACUCCUCACAAGAGAUGCAGCGGCUCUCUCCUCCGGCUCCCCCUCCCAUCUCCGUUCUCUUCUCGACCUCCGGCGAGAUCGCCUUAGGUGCUCUCGAUUUCUCCCGAAUCGGACUCCUCUCUCUCCAAUUAGGUGUAAGUAGGCUGCCAUUUCCUUGGAGCUUUUGGGACCGGAAAUCGAGAAGAAGAAGGAGGGAAAGAGUAGAGGAGAAUCUUGCUACACCACUUGCCUUGUUUCAUUGCUAAGUUUAGCAAAUGUUGGAGCAUUAGUUUUAGAGUAGCUUAUUGACUAAGCUCUAGUUAGACCAGUGUUGUUAAAAUCGCGCCCCGAGAGCGCUUGGGUCGCGGGUCGCAAGGGUCGAGACCGACGUCGCCCCAUUGUGGGUAGGUGGGUCGAGAUUCAGGGGUCGCCGUCGGGGCGGCUGAGGCGGCUGGGUCGAGCGGCUGGGGCGAGCGACUGGAAGAAGAAGAUCCUCGGCCAUGGCUGCUCAGAAAUGGGUCUGUGACUCUGUGAGAAUGAAGAGAGAAGAAGGGAUGUGAAUGAAGAGAGAAGAAGGGGGGUUUACCGAGACAAAAAAUUUUAAAAGUAAAGUAGGCAGAAGCUAUAGCUAGGGCUUCUAGGACCUAUAAAAGUUAAUAAUCAUUUUCUUCCACUUUCAUUUUUUAAUAUUAGUAUUAAUAUUGGUUGUCAA